GACGAACGCUGGCGGCGUGCCUAAUACAUGCAAGUAGAACGCAGUUGCGAACGGGUGAGUAACGCGUAGGUAACUGCCUGGUAGCGGGGGAUAACUAUUGGAAACGAUAGCUAAUACCGCAUACUACCAGAUGGACCUGCGUUGUAUUAGAUAGUUGGUGAGGUAACGGGGCACCAAGGCAACGAUACAUAGCCGACCGGGGGGGGUGGCCGGCCACAAUGGGACGGGGACAAGGCCCAGAAUCCUACGGGAGGCAGCAGGAGGGAAUCUUCGGCAAUGGGGGGAAACCUGACCGAGCAACGCCGCGUGAGUGAAGAAGGUUUUCGGAUCGUAAAGCUCUGUUGUUAAGGAAGCGGUACUUAACCAGAAAGGGACGGCUAACUACGUGCCAGCAGCCGCGGUAAUAC
rnacentral:rRNA from 1 species